GAUCAUGGCUCAGGAUGAACGCUGGCGGCGUGCUUAACACAUGCAAGUCGAGCGAAGCACUCUGCUUUGAUUCCUUCGGGAUGAAGAGCAUUGUGACUGAGCGGCGGACGGGUGAGUAACGCGUGGGUAACCUGCCUCAUACAGGGGGAUAACAGUUAGAAAUGGCUGCUAAUACCGCAUAAGACCACAGCACCGCAUGGUGCAGGAGUAAAAACUCCGGUGGUA
rnacentral:rRNA from 1 species